rnacentral:snRNA from 1 species
AGCUUUGCUCAGUGGCAGUAUCGUAGCCAAUGAGGUUAAUCCGAGGCGCGAUUAUUGCUAAUUGAAAACUGUGAAACUGAAGAAUUGUGACAGACUUGCAUGAGUGCUAGUAGGUUAAAGUUUAAUUCAGUAGUAUUUGUAAAGCAUUCGAAUGG